GCCGACGUGGCGGAAUGGUAGACGCAGCGGACUUAAAAUCCGCUGGGAGGUAACUCCCGUGCGGGUUCGAGUCCCGCCGUCGGUA
rnacentral:tRNA from 1 species